rnacentral:rRNA from 1 species
CCCUUAGAUGUUCUGGGCCGCACGCGCGCUACACUGAUGCAUUCAACGAGUCUAAAACCUGCUCUGAUAGGGGUGGGUAAUCUUUUGAAUGUGCAUCGUGAUUGGGAUAGAUGAUUGAAAUUUUUCAUCUUCAACGAGGAAUGCCUAGUAAACGCAAGUCAUCAGCUUGCAUUGAUUACGUCCCUGCCCUUUGUACACACCGCCCGUCGCUCCUACCAAUUGAAUGAUCCGAUGAAUAUCAUGGAUUGAGGAUGCAAGUAGGUUCACCUAUCUUCAUCUUCGAGAAGUGAAGUAAAUCUUAUCAUUUAGAGGAAGGAGAAGUCGUAACA